rnacentral:lncRNA from 1 species
ACUAAGAGAGGUCCAAGCAUUCUUUUGACAACUUGUCACCAAGGGUUUCAAACAUGGUGCACAAACCCCACUUUGGAAGCCCUUGGAACCAUUGGAAAGAGAGGAACUAGAGAAGACAAUAACUAAUUUGAUUGCAAAAGAAGAGGAUUUCCAAGAUGCUCAAGAGGUAACUUCUAAAGUUUUAGAAGAUUUAAAUAUUGAUCUUAACAUUAAUAAUCAGGAUAAAGAGAUUGAGAGAGUGAUUGAUGUCUUGGUACAAGAAGAAAAUCAAGGGACUGGAGAGCAUGCAGUUUCGAUUGGUUAACAAGCUAUCGAAACUCAUGUUGAAACAACUGAUGCGACAGAAAACAGAACAGAAGAUGUUUCUAAGCACAAUGAACUAAUGGCUGAUGUUAAGGCCAUUGAACUUGAAGUACCUUUGGCUGCUAAGCAUAGAGAAGCAAAAAGGAAAAGAAAAUAGCCCAUGGAAUCCACUGAACCAGUCACUGGAUCAAAAAGGAAAAAGGAGCAAGAUCAAAAUUUGAGUUUAAUACUAUCCAGGUAAAACCACCAAGGCCUCUCGUUUUUGGAAUAAUAUGCUACGAAAAAGAUGAAAAACUAUCUCUAGGAAAGCUUUGUUAAAGAGAGAAACAUAGAUUAUGUAGGUUUUGAAAAGGUUAGUCUUCUAAAUCACUUGAAUGCUCAAAACCUUAUGACGUCAAUCUCAUAUGCGAAAUCUUUUGUCAAGGAGAUAUACAGCAGUUCUAUUGUAACCUUUUGUCUCCUAGAUAUUUGAGUGUAAUAUAUGCCAUCCUUCACAUAAUUGGACACCAUCAAGCAUCAACUCAUUCUUAAAUCUAGG